rnacentral:misc_RNA from 1 species
UACGGAGGGGGCUAGCGUUGUUCGGAAUUACUGGGCGUAAAGCGCGCGUAGGCGGCCAAUCAAGUCGGGCGUGAAAUCCCGGGGCUCAACCCCGGAACUGCGCCCGAAACUGGUAGGCUUGAGUCCGGGAGAGGGUGGUGGAAUUCCCAGUGUAGAGGUGAAAUUCGUAGAUAUUGGGAAGAACACCGGUGGCGAAGGCGGCCACCUGGCCCGGGACUGACGCUGAGGCGCGAAAGCGUGGGGAGCAAACAGG